UAGAAGAAGGGGUCUUUAAGUAAAAGAAGAAGUUUAAUUAAGUCAGUUUUAUUAUCACGUUUAAGUUAGUGGGAUUAAGGGUCAGUUUAUUUAUCCCAUUUAAGUUAGUGGGGUUAGGUAGUUUAUAAGUUUUAAAAGAACAGACAACAACUUACGUUAGUUCAUUCAUCAGAUUCAAACAACAGACAGUCAGAAAAACUUAAUAUCAGGGAAGAAGAAAGACAGAGGAGAGGGAAAGAGAUUGCUGAUUAAGGCUACUAAGAGGAUUUUCGGAUUUGCUACUUGAAAGUAAAAUUUACGAGAUCAUGUUGUGAUUUGGUCAACUACGCGGGAAUUUUGGGGAGUGAUGUUUAAUUUAGUAAC
rnacentral:sRNA from 1 species